GCUCUGCUAGCGCAAUGGUAGCGCGUCAGACUUCUAAUCUGAAGGCUCCGGGUUCGAGUCCCGGGUGGAGCU
rnacentral:tRNA from 1 species